ACGUCCAAUGGAGGUGAGGAGCUCCAAGCUGCAUGGCGCUCCCGCCCUGCCUCCUGCCGCCCCGACUGCCCUAGUGAACGGGUCCCGGAGCCUGCAAAGACGGCCAGGAGAGCUAUUAAACCAACCAUGCAAAUUAUUAAGGCCCCACAGACUCAGGAGGAGAAAGAAACUAGACAACGUUUAGUCACAUCAUUCAAGGCUAUCCUUUCCAAGGACAUCUAAACCCUAUUCCUCGUCCACACCACUGUCCUUCCUUGGAAAAUUUUGACGGGCCUCUGAUCACUUCCCUCCCUGGAGAAUUCCAACUGUUGGUUAACAGAAAAACCCACUGACCGCUCAGGAUCUUUCCCCACGGUGGCUUCUCCCUCUGGGGCGCCCUUCCACGUUCCCCUCUUCCUCCAUUCUCCACUGUCUGCAUCAAAUCUGUCCCUUACAUCCCACUUGAAGGCACUAUGUUCAUGGACCUCCCCUCGAUUGCCUCUGCUUGCAAUAUUCUCUCCUAGAAUGUCCACAGCAUUGUACCCCUGACGGUAGAUUCCUUUCUUCCUUGGGAUCACAGUGGUUUGUGUCCUACUUCCCAGCUGAGAGGGCUUUAAGGGCAGCCACCACAGCCCAUUCAUUUCACGUCUGCAUCCCCACAGGACCAUCCUAUCUCAGGUGCUCAGUAAUUACUUAUCAGCUUGGAGAAUGCUCUGGGGCAUGACUCUGAAGGAACAGGAGUGAAAGCAAGUCAUGAUGGGAUUAAAGGAAUUAGGAACAUUUCAGAGGAAGGCCUCCCUGUGUGAAAGGCAACAUGGAAGGGAUCUUCAAGCAGCCCUCCUGCUGCCCCUGGGCCCUGAAAGAGCUUCCAGGAACCCGCCCCCAGUUCAGUUAUCAGGCGAUGGUCCUAAUCUGUAUGCAUUUUUAUUUUAUGCAAACAAAAUUAGAUUCAAACAAAGACUCUUAAUUAACAAAUUAAAGCUGCACCAUGCAUUUUUUUUUUUUCUGCACCAUGCACUUCUUGCUCCAAAAAUCCCAUCUAUUCAAAGGCUAGAAACAAAAUUCCUAACAGCCAUGCAGCAAAUGAAUGUAGUUAGGGAAACAGGACUGGGUACCACAGUUGUCCUAAUCCUGGAACACCUGUUUAAAUAACAAGUCGUGCCUGAGGCAUUCAGAACAACCUGCUAAUACUAACUCAGCACCCAACACCAAACUCCUUGUGGUCGCCAGUGUUAAGUACUACUGUCUGCAUUUUUUCAGGUAGAGAAGCAAGGGCAUUCACAAGUGAUUUUUCAAAACCCCAAAGGAAGACAAUUUAGAUGGAGACUGAAUAUCCAAACCUCCCAACCAGUCAGCUCAUCACUCCAUCUGCAAAUGUGUUUUAACCAAAUCUGAGAAAAACUGAGAAAAACUGCUGUUUCUAUAAGGGAUUUCAUAAGGAAAAGAAUAAAGGCAGGGCUGGAGCAGAAUCCAUUUAACCCAUCAUUCAAAGCAACAACCUUGCCACAUUUCCACGUUUCAACACACACACACACACACACACACACACAAGUCAGAGUUCAAUGGUCAUUCUUUUUUUUUUUGUUUUAACUCCACAGUAUUUAUUUAGUGCCAGAGACAUUGUGAAGGAGAGAUAGACCAACUGCUAGAUAAGGGUCAUGACUUUAAGGGGUGCCAAGGGCAGAGGGAACCAACACCUGCAGAGGACAGUGGGCCUUCUCUGGCCCAAAGGAGGGGUGGUGUUUGGAUUGGCACAGAGAGAUAGGGAUGGAGGGGCAGGUCCGGCCUGAGGGGCACACAGUCCUGGUUUGUUGGUGAUUCGAUUAAAAGCUUGGACAAGUUGGGCUGGGAAGCUGCAGUCCAACAGGUGAUACCGAGUAGCAAUUCACACUCAUUAGGCCAAGAAAAGAGCAACAAUGCCUCUGCUUCAGUGUGAGGGGAGGAGCUGCACUCCUCCAAGUCUAGGUCUGAAUGUACACACUGCCACUGACCUGAAUUUAACCCCCUAGAACCUGAGAGUGGUAGCUAGGAGAGAUGGGGAACUUC